rnacentral:rRNA from 1 species
UACGAAGGGAGCUAGCGUUGUUCGGAAUCACUGGGCGUAAAGCGCACGUAGGCGGAUGUGUCAGUCAGGGGUGAAAUCCCAGAGCUCAACUCUGGAACUGCCUUUGAUACUGUCGAUCUGGAGUAUGGAAGAGGUGAGUGGAAUUCCGAGUGUAGAGGUGAAAUUCGUAGAUAUUCGGAGGAACACCAGUGGCGAAGGCGGCUCACUGGUCCAUUACUGACGCUGAGGUGCGAAAGCGUGGGGAGCAAACAGG